CAAUAGCGUAUAUUGAAGUUGUUGCGGUUAAAAAGCUCGUCGUUGGGUUUCUGUUGAGGUCGAACAGUGCCGCCCUAUGGGUGCGCAACUGGCUCGGCUUCGGCAUCUUCUUGGAGAGCGCAUCUGCACUUAACUGUGUGGAUCGUACUUCAAGUCAGUUACUUUGAGGAAUUGUGAGUGUUUCAAGCAGGCUUACGCCGUUGAAUCCGUUAGCAUGGAAUAAUAGGAUAGGACCUCGGUUCUAUUUUGUUGGUUUUGAGAGCUGGGGCAGCGAUUGAUAGGGACGGAUGGGGGCGUCCGAACUUUACUGUCAGAGGUGAAAUUCUUAGAUCGGUCAAAGGCGAACUACUGCGAACGCAUUCGCCAAGAAUGUUUUCUUUAA
rnacentral:rRNA from 1 species